AUUGAACGCUGACGGCAGGCCUAACACAUGCAAGUCGAGCGGAUGAAGGGAGCUUGCUCCUGGAUUCAGCGGCGGACGGGUGAGUAAUGCCUAGGAAUCUGCCUGGUAGUGGGGGAUAACGUCCGGAAACGGGCGCUAAUACCGCAUACGUCCUGAGGGAGAAAGUGGGGGAUCUUCGGACCUCACGCUAUCAGAUGAGCCUAGGUCGGAUUAGCUAGUUGGUGGGGUAAAGGCCUACCAAGGCGACGAUCCGUAACUGGUCUGAGAGGAUGAUCAGUCACACUGGAACUGAGACACGGUCCAGACUCCUACGGGAGGCAGCAGUGGGGAAUAUUGGACAAUGGGCGAAAGCCUGAUCCAGCCAUGCCGCGUGUGUGAAGAAGGUCUUCGGAUUGUAAAGCACUUUAAGUUGGGGGGAAGGGCAGUAAGUUAAUACCUUGCUGUUUUGACGUUACCAACAGAAUAAGCACCGGCUAACUUCGUG
rnacentral:rRNA from 1 species